UACAGAGGGGGCAAGCGUUAUUCGGAAUUAUUGGGCGUAAAGGGUGCGUAGGCGGUGUUUUAAGUGAGAUGUGCAAUCCCCGGGCUUAACCUGGGAACUGCAUCUCAGACUGGAAUGCUAGAGUACUGGAGAGGGUGGUAGAAUUCCACGUGUAGCGGUGAAAUGCGUAGAGAUGGGGAGGAAUACCAGUGGCGAAGGCGGCCACCUGGACAGUAACUGACGCUGAGGCACGAAAGCAUGGGUAGCAAACAGG
rnacentral:rRNA from 1 species